rnacentral:rRNA from 1 species
CCUACGGGAGGCAGCAGUGGGGAAUAUUGCGCAAUGGGCGAAAGCCUGACGCAGCGACGCCGCGUGAGGGAUGAAGGUCUUCGGAUCGUAAACCUCUAACAGCAGGGAAGAAAUAAAGUCCUUUGGACUUUGGACGGUACCGGACUAAGAAGCCACGGCUAACUACGUGCCAGCAGCCGCGGGAAUACGGAGGGGGCAAGCGUUAUCCGGAGUUACUGGGUGUAAAGGGAGCGUAGACGGCAGCGCAAGUCGGGAGUGAAAUCCCAUGGCUUAACCAUGGAACUGCUUUGGCAACUGUGCAGCUAGAGUGCAGGCUAGGUAAGCGGUAUUCCUAGUGUAGCUGUGA